GUGCUCACUUCCGCAGCGCAGAUAGUAAAAUUGGAACAAUGCAGAGAAAAUUAGCAUGGCCCCUCAGCAAGGAUGGCACACGAAUUUGUGAAGCAUUCCAUAUUUUU